GGGCGCUUAGCUCAGCUUGGUUAGAGCACCUGAUUUACAUUCAGGGGGUCGGGGGUUCGAGUCCCUCAGCGCCCA
rnacentral:tRNA from 1 species